CCUACGGGUGGCAGCAGUGAGGAAUAUUGGUCAAUGGACGAGAGUCUGAACCAGCCAAGUAGCGUGAAGGAUGACUGCCCUAUGGGUUGUAAACUUCUUUUAUAUGGGAAUAAAAUGUUCCACGUGUGGGAUUUUGUAUGUACCAUAUGAAUAAGGAUCGGCUAACUCCGUGCCAGCAGCCGCGGUAAUACGGAGGAUCCGAGCGUUAUCCGGAUUUAUUGGGUUUAAAGGGAGCGUAGGUGGAUUGUUAAGUCAGUUGUGAAAGUUUGCUGCUCAACCGUAAAAUUGCAGUUGAAACUGGCAGUCUUGAGUACAGUAGAGGUGGGCGGAAUUCGUGGUGUAGCGGUGAAAUGCUUAGAUAUCACGAAGAACUCCGAUUGCGAAGGCAGUUCACUGGACUGCAACUGACACUGAGGCUCGAAAGUGUGGGUAUCAAACAGGAUUAGAUACCCUAGUAGUC
rnacentral:rRNA from 1 species